AGAGUUUGAUCCUGGCUCAGAUUGAACGCUGGCGGCAGGCCUAACACAUGCAAGUCGAGCGGUAGCACAGAGAGCUUGCUCUCGGGUGACGAGCGGCGGACGGGUGAGUAACACGUGGGUAACCUACCCAUCAGAGGGGGAUAACACUUGGAAACAGGUGCUAAUACCGCAUAACGUCGCAAGACCAAAGUGGGGGACCUUCGGGCCUCAUGCCAUCAGAUGUGCCCAGAUGGGAUUAGCUGGUAGGUGGGGUAACGGCUCACCUAGGCGACGAUCCCUAGCUGGUCUGAGAGGAUGACCAGCCACACUGGAACUGAGACACGGUCCAGACUCCUACGGGAGGCAGCAGUGGGGAAUAUUGCACAAUGGGCGCAAGCCUGAUGCAGCCAUGCCGCGUGUAUGAAGAAGGCCUUAGGGUUGUAAAGUACUUUCAGUCGGGAGGAAGGCGUUGAUGCUAAUAUCAUCAACGAUUGACGUUACCGACAGAAGAAGCACCGGCUAACUCCGUGCCAGCCGCCGCGGUAAUUC
rnacentral:rRNA from 1 species